GUUGUACUCCCUCCGUUCGGAAUUACUUGUCGCAGAAAUGGAUGUAUCUAGACGUAUUUUAGUUCUAGAUACAUCCAUUUUCGCGACAAGUAAUUCCGAACGGAGGGAGUAUGUG
rnacentral:pre_miRNA from 1 species